rnacentral:rRNA from 1 species
AUUGAACGCUGGCGGCAUGCUUUACACAUGCAAGUCGAACGGUAACAGGUUAAGCUGACGAGUGGCGAACGGGUGAGUAAUGCAUCGGAACGUGCCCGAUCGUGGGGGAUAACGCAGCGACAGCUGCGCUAAUACCGCAUACGAUCUGAGGAUGAAAGAGGGGGACCGUAAGGCCUCGCGCGAUCGGAGCGGCCGAUGUCAGAUUAGGUAGUUGGUGGGGUAAAGGCCCACCACGCCGACGAUCUGUAGCUGGUCUGAGAGGACGACCAGCCACACUGGGACUGAGACACGGCCCAGACUCCUACGGGAGGCAGCAGUGGGGAAUUUUGGACAAUGGGCGAAAGCCUGAUCCAGCAAUGCCGCGUGCAGGAAGAAGGCCUUCGGGUUGUAAACUGCUUUUGUACGGAGCGAAAAGGUCCUUUCUAAUACAAGGGGCUCAUGACGGUACCGUAAGAAUAAGCACCGGCUAACUACGUGCCAGCAGCCGCCGUAA